rnacentral:rRNA from 1 species
AGAGUUUGAUCCUGGCUCAGAACGAACGCUGGCGGCGCGCCUAAUACAUGCAAGUCGAGCGAGAAGACGUAGCAAUACGUUUGUAAAGCGGCGAACGGGUGAGGAAUACAUGGGUAACCUACCCUCGAGUGGGGAAUAACUAGCCGAAAGGUUAGCUAAUACCGCAUACGACUCUCGGUCUGCGGAUCGAGAGGGAAAGCGAUACCGUGGGUAUCGCGCUCAUGGAUGGGCUCAUGUCCUAUCAGCUUGUUGGUGAGGUAACGGCUCACCAAGGCUUCGACGGGUAGCUGGUCUGAGAGGACGAUCAGCCACACUGGCACUGCGACACGGGCCAGACUCCUACGGGAGGCAGCAGUAAGGAAUAUUGCGCAAUGGGCGACAGCCUGACGCAGCGACGCCGCGUGGGGGAUGAAGGUCUUCGGAUUGUAAACCCCUUUCGGCAGGGAAGAUGGAACGGGUAACCGUUCGGACGGUACCUGCAG